rnacentral:rRNA from 1 species
GAGUUUGAUCGUGGCUCAGAUUGAACGCUGGCGGCAGGCCUAACACAUGCAAGUCGAGCGGUAGAGAGAAGCUUGCUUCUCUUGAGAGCGGCGGACGGGUGAGUAAUGCCUAGGAAUCUGCCUGGUAGUGGGGGAUAACGCUCGGAAACGGACGCUAAUACCGCAUACGUCCUACGGGAGAAAGCAGGGGACCUUCGGGCCGUUGCGACUAUCAGAUGAGCCUAGGUCGGAUUAGCUAGUUGGUGAGGUAAUGGCUCACCAAAGGCGACGAUCCGUAACUGGUCUGAGAGGAUGAUCAGUCACACUGGAACUGAGACACGGUCCAGACUCCUACGGGAGGCAGCAGUGGGGAAUAUUGGACAAUGGGCGAAAGCCUGAUCCAGCCAUGCCGCGUGUGUGAAGAAGGUCUUCGGAUUGUAAAGCAC